rnacentral:sRNA from 2 species
GCGCCCGUCAUUGGGGAGUAGCGUCCCUCCUUCCACCGGUCGAGAGGGGCUUGCGUCAACAGACUUGCUCGUGACGAGCAUGGCGCAAGCGGUCCCGGACUUUGCGAGACCUUUGACUGCAUCGCCUCGGCACGGGCCGGGAGGCGGUGCAGUCAUUCGUGUCACGCCGGCCCCGGACU